ACGGAAGGCAGCAGUGGGGAAUAUUGCACAAUGGGGGAAACCCUGAUGCAGCGACGCCGCGUGAGUGAUGAAGUAUUUCGGUAUGUAAGGCUCUAUCAGCAGGGAAGAUAAUGACGGUACCUGACUAAGGAGCCCCGGCUAACUACGUGCCAGCAGCCGCGGUAAUACGUAGGGGGCAAGCGUUAUCCGGAUUUACUGGGUGUAAAGGGAGUGUAGGUGGUUUGGCAAGCCAGAUGUGAAAGCCCGGGGCUCAACCCCGCGGACUGCAUUUGGAACUGUUAAACUUGAGUGCAGGAGAGGAAAGUGGAAUUCCUAGUGUAGCGGUGAAAUGCGUAGAUAUUAGGAGGAACACCAGUGGCGAAGGCGGCUUUCUGGACUGUAACUGACACUGAGGCUCGAAAGCGUGGGGAGCAAACAGGAUUAGAUACCCUGGUA
rnacentral:rRNA from 1 species